rnacentral:rRNA from 1 species
UACGGGGGGGGCAAGCGUUGUUCGGAAUUACUGGGCGUAAAGGGCUCGUAGGUGGCCAACUAAGUCAGACGUGAAAUCCCUCGGCUUAACCGGGGAACUGCAUCUGAUACUGGAUGGCUUGAGUUUGGGAGAGGGAUGCGGAAUUCCAGGUGUAGCGGUGAAAUGCGCAGAUAUCAGGAGGAACACCCGUGGCGAAAGCGGCUCUCUGGGACGGUACUGACGCUGAGACGCGAAAGCGUGGGGAGCAAACAGG